rnacentral:tRNA from 1 species
CGGAAUGUGGCUAAAUAGGAAAGCAACUCCUUUACACCGAGAUGAUGUUCGUGCAAUUCGGACCAUUCUGA